UUAGUGCUCAGAUACUCCAUUUAUUUUUCAAUAUGAUAUUUUUAAACAAUAUAUCACGUAUUGUUAUAUAUGAUAUUUUAUAAAAGUGGCUCAUUAGGAAAUCAGAGUAUUUGUUUAAAUUACAUUCCGUCAGUAGUAAUAGUUUUAUAAUGCUGUUAAAGUCACUGAGAUACAAUUCAAAAAUAAUUUCUACAUUCUAUCCUAUUUCUUAUGACAUUCCCCCCUACCACUUUUUCAACGCGUAUUCGUUUGUACAUUUGUGGAUCCAUUAUUUUCAAUUCAAAAUUGGAAAAAAAAUGGUGCAGGAAAUUCACUUCUGAUAUAAUGAAUGCUAGUUUUUAUCAUUGUCUAGUCUGAAUUGUCUGCUUUUACGAUAAUCCCACAGUAGUUUUUGAAUUUACAGUUAUAUCGUUUAGAUUCCAGACAGAUAUAUUUAAUAGUAACCUUUACAAUAGUUUGAUGCUAUUAAAUGUUUUACUUCAUUUGGAAAGAAUAGUUCCAGUAUACAGUAAAGACAUGGGCAAAUUUGGCUCUUUUGAUAAGCAAUUUUUACAAUCAGUCAAAUUCAUAUAAUAGGUCGUUUGAUAUUGAUACAAGGUAAUGUUAUAUAUAUAUAUUUACUCAUAGAUAAAAAAGUUUUAAAUUCAACACAUACACAAAAUUGAUUUGUUAUUCACUUUUAUUUAUAUCCAUAAAUGACAUACCAUAAUGUUUAUUGUAAGAUACCUGUUUGCUAUUACUUGUUAUUUUGACAUUCUUAUAUUAACGUUUAUAUCAAUUUUUGUAUGAAUUGUUGCAAGA
rnacentral:lncRNA from 1 species